rnacentral:rRNA from 1 species
AUAGUUGGGGGCAUUAGUAUUUAAUUGUCAGAGGUGAAAUUCUUGGAUUUAUGAAAGACUAACUUCUGCGAAAGCAUUUGCCAAGGAUGUUUUCAUUAAUCAAGAACGAAAGUUAGGGGAUCGAAGACGAUCAGAUACCGUCGUAGUCUUAACCAUAAACUAUGCCGACUAGGGAUCGGACGACGUUAAAAUAU